rnacentral:rRNA from 1 species
UACGGAGGGGGCUAGCGUUGUUCGGAAUUACUGGGCGUAAAGCGCACGUAGGCGGCUUUGUAAGUUAGAGGUGAAAGCCCAGGGCUUAACUCUGGAAUUGCCUUUAAGACUGCAUCGCUAGAAUCGUGGGGAGGUGAGUGGAAUUCCGAGUGUAGAGGUGAAAUUCGUAGAUAUUCGGAAGAACACCAGUGGCGAAGGCGACUCACUGGACACGUAUUGACGCUGAGGUGCGAAAGCGUGGGGAGCAAACAGG